UACGUAGGUGGCGAGCGUUAUCCGGAAUUAUUGGGCGUAAAGAGCGCGCAGGUGGUUGAUUAAGUCUGAUGCGAAAGCCCACGGCUUAACCGUGGAGGGUCAUUGGAAACUGGUCGACUUGAGUGCAGAAGAGGGAAGUGGAAUUCCAUGUGUAGCGGUGAAAUGCGUAGAGAUAUGGAGGAACACCAGUGGCGAAGGCGGCUUCCUGGUCUGUAACUGACACUGAGGCGCGAAAGCGUGGGGAGCAAACAGGAUUAGAUA
rnacentral:rRNA from 1 species